GCGGCCAUGGAGAGGAAUAAACAGUCAACGUUUUGGGCAGCAUCAUAUCUAUCGAUGCUGCCCGACCUGCUGAGCACCCCCAGCAAUUUGUGCGCGUUGCCGUGAAAUCUGUUGUUUUGCGGUGGCAGUUCAGUACAAUUUUAAAUUUCUCUGGGGUGUUCCGAUGCCCGGGAUGGUGGCAGAGAGAGGCUUUUAAGAGAUGUUUAUGGAUGCAAGGAAAAUGGAGGGAUAUGGAGAUGGUGCAGCAGUCGGAAGCCACAUACUCAGUGGAAGGGACAAGAGGGAUGACAAAUCAAGUUCUGUUUGUGUGGCGAAAAGGGAACCCAAGGCAUUGAAGUUUCCAUACCAGGCCGCGAUGCAAGGAUACUCUCCACUGUGUGUCUAUGGAAGUUGGACAGUUUAUAACACUGGACAACAAUGAUUUUGCUUCCUGAACUCUUUUGGGUGUAUCUUUUGGAUUUUGGGCCUCUGAUCACGAAAAUCACCAUGAAAUUUCCCUAUCACACACCUUUUUUUGAAAUCAUAUUUGUUACUUCAAUUCAUAAUUCAAGCCAAUAACUAAUGCCAAGAUUAAGGAAGGCAUUUUUGUUAGUCUACAAAUCAAACUGGUCAUCAAUGAAAGGCAAUUUAAAGAGCUUCUAGUGGGACCGGAGAAAAUCGCAUGGAAGGCAUCCAAGAAUGUUGUUGAAAUUUUCUUGGCAACUACAGAACACCAAACUACGUGCAGCUAGUUAACAACAUGCUUCAAGCAUACAAAACCAUGAUCUGCAACAUGUCACCGAAGAUUCAUUUUCUGCAUUCCCAUUUAGACUUCCUCCCUGCAAAUCUUGGCACUGUCAGUGACGAGCAUGGUGAAAGGUUUCACCAGGACAUUUUGAACUUUUUACUGUCGGAUAUUGAACUUUUUACUGUUGGACUUCGGCCACAUUCCACCGAGAUACAACACUGGGCGGCAUGGGAGGUCGUUCCAUCGAACAUGCAGCUCCUCCCGUGGAGGGUCAGACACCCUGAGCCAAUAGACUGGUCCUGGACUUAUUUUCCAUCUGGCAUAGUUUGCAUUUUGUUGAUUGAUUGUUUGUGGUUUUUGUAUUGCUAUAUUUACACUCUAUUCUUGGUUGGUGUGGCUGUAAUGGAACCCAAUUUCCCUCAGGAUUAAUAAAGUAUAUCUAUCUAUUAGUCAUGGAGAAACGGUAUCAGGGCAUCUGGAAUCCAUCAAUGUUGGCUGAUUAUUGUUGGACACUUAAAUGAGAAG